CUUUGUUGCAGCAUCGAAGUGUUUCAUAGCAUUGAAUUUUAUACUUUUUAUCUAUAUUGCUCAGACUCUUCAAAAAUGUCGACGGGUGCGUGUCGGAUUCUCCAAAAGUAGUGUAUUUUUGGAGAAUUUGACACGGAUGCAAUAUCGAAAGUGAAGAGUCCACACAACUUAGCUUUUUAUGGAUUUUGAUCUUAUAAAAUCACAAGGGAUUUAACUUAUAUAAUGUAAAGACUAUAAAAAUUUGCUGGCUCUGAAUCGGCAUUUAGCACCGGAGGUCGUGUCAUUGGAAAGUUUUGAAGUUCUAUUCUUCCUGCAAAUACUGAGGCGAAACUAUGUACUAGGGAUUGGAUUUGUGGACAAGAAGAUCUUGAUGGAUUCGAAUCAGAUUCUGAUGAAGAUGAGAUUGUUUUGACCUUCAACCUUAUGUUGAUAAACUUAGAGAUCAUCGCAUCUCAAAGGACAAUCCACAAUAGCAGAAAUCACUGAGAGUUUGUGGAAAUUUUGUUGGAAGUGGUGGCCUUGUGGGUGCAGCAUCUUCGUCUUUUUAGAGUUAACAUGCUGCCGAGCAAUUAACCAUGGAUCUCCAGUUGAUCAGUUGGCGGAAGCUGGAUUAACACCAUCUCAUAUUGCAGCAACAAUAUUUAACGUACUUGGACAAACCAUAGAGGCUUUAGAGGUCAUGGCAUAAAAUGGAAUAAGUGUUUGAAGAACUGUUAGAAAGUUGUCAUGUAGUAACACACAAGAGACUACAUUGAUGCAAGCCAUUGAAUUUGAUUGAGUAGAAAACAAAACAACUUUCUAUAAAGUUCACAAAUGUAUCUCUUUUUUUUAAUAACAAUUUUGGUGGAUUAGGCAGACUUAA